UAGGGAAUCUUCGGCAAUGGACGAAAGUCUGACCGAGCAACGCCGCGUGAGUGAAGAAGGUUUUCGGAUCGUAAAACUCUGUUGUUAGAGAAGAACAAGGACGUUAGUAACUGAACGUCCCCUGACGGUAUCUAACCAGAAAGCCACGGCUAACUACGUGCCAGCAGCCGCGGUAAUACGUAGGUGGCAAGCGUUGUCCGGAUUUAUUGGGCGUAAAGCGAGCGCAGGCGGUUUCUUAAGUCUGAUGUGAAAGCCCCCGGCUCAACCGGGGAGGGUCAUUGGAAACUGGGAGACUUGAGUGCAGAAGAGGAGAGUGGAAUUCCAUGUGUAGCGGUGAAAUGCGUAGAUAUAUGGAGGAACACCAGUGUCGAAGGCGGCUCUCUGGUCUGUAACUGACGCUGAGGCUCGAAAGCGUGGGGAGCAAACAGG
rnacentral:rRNA from 1 species